rnacentral:rRNA from 1 species
AUUGAACGCUGGCGGCAGGCUUAACACAUGCAAGUCGAGCGAGCGGCGGACGGGUGAGUAAUGUCUGGGAAACUGCCUGAUGGCGGGGGCUAACUACUGGAAACGGUAGCUAAUACCGCAUACCAUCAGAUGUGCCCAGAUGGGAUUAGCUAGUGGGUGGGGUAAUGGCUCACCUAGGCGACGAUCCCUAGCUGGUAUGAGAGGAUGACCAGCCAAACUGGAACUGAGAAACGGUCCAGAAUCCUACGGGAGGCAGCAGUGGGGAAUAUUGCACAAGGGGGGCAAGCCUGAUGCAGCCAGGCCGCGGGUGUGAAGAAGGCCUUCGGGUUGGAAAGCACUUUCAGCGAGGAGGCGUUACUCGCAGAAGAAGCACCGGCUAACUCCGUGCCAGCAGCCGCGGUAAUUC